rnacentral:rRNA from 1 species
GCGCACCAGUCGCGAAACCUCCUCAAUGCACUCACGUGCGAAGGGGUUACCUCGAGUGCCGCCUGAAGAAGGCGGCUUUUCCAUGGUCUAAAAAGCCUAGGGAAUAAGAGGGGGCGAGACUGGUGUCAGCCGCCGCGGUAACACCAGCCCCUCGAGUGGUGGGGAUGAUUAUUUGGCCUAAAAGCGUCCGUAGCCGGCCGGGUAAGUCUCCCGUUAAAUCCAGUGUCUCAAGCGUUGGACUGCGGGAGAUACUGUCUGGCUAGAGAGUGGGAGAGGUGUACGGUAUUCUGGGGGUAGGGGCGAAAUCCUUUGAUCCCCGGGGGACCACCAGUGGCGAAAGCUGUACACUAGAACACGUCUGACGGUCAGGGACGAAAAGCUGGGGUAGCGAACCGGAUUAGAUACCCCUGUAGU